CCUGUGUGAUGAGACAUGAAUACCCUGACUUUGGUCAUGGAGGUCUGCAAUUAGCUCUAUCUGAC
ensembl:snoRNA